GACGAACGCUGGCGGCGUGCCUAAUACAUGCAAGUAGAACGCUGAAGAGAGGAUCUUGCUCUUCUUGGAUGAGUUGCGAACGGGUGAGUAACGCGUAGGUAACCUGCCUGGUAGCGGGGGAUAACUAUUGGAAACGAUAGCUAAUACCGCAUAAAAUUGAUUAUUGCAUGAUAAUUAAUUGAAAGAUGCAACUGCAUCACUACCAGAUGGACCUGCGUUGUAUUAGCUAGUUGGUGAGGUAACGGCUCACCAAGGCGACGAUACAUAGCCGACCUGAGAGGGUGAUCGGCCAAACUGGGACUGAGACACGGCCCAGACUCCUGCGGGAGGCAGCAGUAGGGAAUCUUCGGCAAUGGGGGGAACCCUGACCGAGCAACGACGCGUGAGUGAAGAAGGUUUUCGGAUCGUAAAGCUCUGUUGUAAGAGAAGAACGGGUGUGAGAGUGGAAAGUUCACACUGUGACGGUAUCUUAACAGAAAGGGACGGCUAACUACGUG
rnacentral:rRNA from 1 species